AACGAACGCUGGCGGCAUGCCUAACACAUGCAAGCCGAACGAGACCUUCGGGUCUAGUGGCGCACGGGUGCGUAACGCGUGGGAACCUGCCCUUAGGUUCGGAAUAACUCCCCGAAAGGGGUGCUAAUACCGGAUAAUGUCUUCGGACCAAAGAUUUAUCGCCUUUGGAUGGGCCCGCGUUGGAUUAGCUAGUUGGUAGGGUAAAAGCCUACCAAGGCGACGAUCCAUAGCUGGUCUGAGAGGAUGAUCAGCCACACUGGGACUGAGACACGGCCCAGACUCCUACGGGAGGCAGCAGUGGGGAAUAUUGGAAAAUGGGCGAAAGCAUGAUCCAGCAAUGCCGCGUGAGUGAUGAAGGCCUUAGGGUUGUAAAGCUCUUUUACCCGGGAUGAUAAUGACAGUACCGGGAGAAUAAGCUCCGGCUAACUCCGUG
rnacentral:rRNA from 1 species